UAAUUCGAACAAAACAAAAUAAUACAAUACCUACAGUUAGAAAAUAUCUUAGUGGAAAUCUAUCUUUAGUGCUUUAAUAUUCUUCAUUCCUUGAUUUUUAUUAGUUAUUGCGUUUCAGAUAACCAUAAUAUCUAAUAAUAACAAAAGUAAAUGGCUUACAAAUGAUAGCACUUAAGAUCAUUAACAAUAUAGAUGUUGGUUUACAUGUCUCGUACACCAAUAAUAAUUGAUGUAUUAUUGACUAUUACUAAUUGGUUACAUAUUGGUAUAAACCCUUUAGGUAUUGGUAUUACACAUUUAACCUUAGAGUCAUUAAUUAUCUUAAUACAGUGCUUAAUGUAAGUUAGAAUUAAUUUUAUGUCCAUAUAAUAUCCGAUAAAUUAAUAUUGAUAUAGUGUUUAAAGAUAGUAUUGAAGUAGCGUUAUCGUUCUUUUAUGGUUUAUUAUUCCAUGAAACACACUUUAGGAAAUUUGGGGGUAAAAAGUCGAUAUCGUCUGUGCUACAAACUGAAAGAAAUAUAGCCGAGCAUGAAUAAUUCAUUCGGAAGGCGUUGUUUUGACUCGUGCAGCGCUACCAAGGUUCGCGAUUUAAUCCGUAGUAGCUAUCAUGAUAUUCAACAUCUUCUGACGUAGACUCGGUCGAAACCUAUAACUGAACGAAUAAUUCAACGCAUGCAAACUAGAAGAAAAGGCGGCAUCAAUGUGCAUAACACCUACAAUCCUUUUGGGUUGAAUCCGACCUGAUCGCCUUCGUAAUCCACUUAUAGACCUUAUUAGACUUAUUAGACCCUUUCUGUCGGUAUCGGUUGCGAAUAUAAAUGGGGGAAACAAAGUUCAACAUUUAAUCUGCUUAUCGAAAAGAUGCUAGGUAGGUAGGUAAGGUUUAUUUUGGUUUUUACUUUCAUUCUUCGAAGUUUGCAGACAAUAUCUAUGAAACUCUGAUCCUGGGAUUUACAUCAUUAGCAAGAACAAUGAUGAGAUGUAGAUACUAGGGAAACUUGGGUCGUGUCACGAGGGCUUUAUUGAUGAUUGACUUUAACGAGAUUGUAGGAAAUAAAUAGGGGGGAGAUUAAUCAACAAUCAAUACAAAUAGUUCUACAAAUUGAACACGUACGAAUGUGUCUUCAUGAAUUGAAGAAGGAUAUCAGGACGAAUGACCCAUAAUUAGAAAAUCCCCAAGAUAGAGGACACUUAAGGGUUUUGCACUGACAUCAUCGGAAAUAACGGCCGUCGAGUCGAGUAACGGCAACGAUAUUUCACCGUUUUAGAACGGACGGCCACUUUUACGACAAUUGGGGACAUCCAGCUGAGCUCUGCCGUGAUUCGCCUCCGAAAAUACCGUGUAGAGGUUGUAAACUCAAAUCAGAAUCGAUGAGCUGGGAAUUUUAGAAUUUCUAAACCUUUUUACGACAUCAAGAACAAGAUCCCGUAGCAAAUCAGUUAACGUGAACUACUUUUAUGACGUCGUUACAUCUUUUUAUUCCUCCUUUUUCCGAUAUCACCAAAAGAACAAAGACUUUAGGAUUUUAUCAGUUCUUAUCACUAACAAGUGUUCGUCCGUUUUAAAUUUACUUUGCGUUCUAGAUACAAAACAAAUAUUUGUUCGUCUUUACUUGUUUAAGACGUAUACCAAGUUGUUAGUUAAAGAACGGAGAGCGAAGGCAGCCAAGUGUUGCGGGAACAUUUGCAACUUCUCUACACUGUAGAGAGGAACUACACUUUCCAAGAAACGCGCCAAGUCGCAAAGCCUCUGGGACACAAAUCUUUCGUUAGACGAGAACCUACCGCCCCAAUUAGCAUGCUAUUUAUGUGAAGGAGAGUUGAGAUCCUGUACUAAACGUUCCAUGCUCCAGUUCCUAACUUUAAUUAUACUAUAUUGAAUGAAAAGCCUAGUAAUAAAAAUAAAAAGAAAUGUUGAAAUUGUAUUUUUAAAGAAUUUAAUGUUUUUCUUUAUCUAUAUUAUUGUUUUACUACUCCAUAAUUUAGUUCUUUUUAUGUAACACGAUUUUACCACGAAUGAUUACGUGUGUGAAAUUGCUGAAACUGCUGAACUUGGUAUUCAGACUGUGCAAAAAACAAACCCAUAAACCUCGCGCUGGCGACAACAACAAAACGGCAAAAAAACAGAACGAAGUCCUUCCUGCGAACAAUAACCAAUUUAGGGCGAGGUAGGAGAGCGCACGAUCUCUACUCCCCCGCGUCUAUUUUCAGGAAUUUACAUCAAACUUCGUAGAGAAGCGAAAAUUUAUAUUGUUGUUUACCGGCAAGGCGAUAGAAGAACGGGAAGAGAAAGUAUCGCUACGUUCCAUCUAGACUGCGCCUAUGAAUAACCUUUUAACUGGUAACUGAAAUUUGUAAGCUGAAAUCGCAUCUAAUAAACAGAUGAGAUCACAAACAAAAUUCAAAUUGAAAAAUUACAUUAAGUAUCAAUCAGCUUCCAUUGUUACUUUGUUUUAGUAAUAAAGAUUUAGAUAGUAACUAUCCAACUUGCAAAUUACAAGAUUAGGAAUGUUGCAAGUACUUACAAUUUUCAAGAGAUGAAACACAAGAUAUCUGGGUCUAGUGUUAUGGCGAUAUUACAAGGUUCAAACAAAUUGAUUCACUUUUGUUGAACUAUUAUGUUGAUCCACCAAAAUGAACUAUUCAACUCACUUUACGCGGACGAAGUCGAAUCAGGUCGUACGGUUGGGAAUAACCUUAAUUGGUGAUCAUUUAAUUAAGGAGUUAACAAAAAAGAAGCAAAGAAAUAGAAGACGUUGGUGGGUACGACCAUGGAUAUUAAGAAGACAGAACUUGGGAGCUUCAAACUGUCUAUUGAGAGAAUCGGCAGAAGAGGAUCCAGAUUCAUAUAAUCUUCGAAUGAAUAAAACAGAAUUUGAAGAACUUCUAAAAAUGGUUACUCCGUUAAUCCAGAAAGAAAGUAUUGUGAUGAGAAAUGCUUUACCAGCACGAAUAAAAUUGCAAAUCGUGCGCAAACAUCUUGCUACUGGUGAUUGUUUUGGAUCACUGGAACAAUAAAAUUAUACAGAGUACUCCGAUGUACAAAUCUUUUAUCCUAGAAGUAUGUGAAGGUAUCUGGAUAGCACUACGAGAUUACAUCAAGUUCUUAUUAAUAUUGUACAUAAUCUACAGGAUGCAUUUUAAUAUUUCAAAUUGUUCUUCAAUAUUAUAGUGUGGUUCACGGACCAAGAUGUUUGAGAUUAUGAAUUUGUAGAUUGAAUAUUUGUAUCUACAAAAUCAUAUGUAGACUGUGAAUUUAAUGGGGAACUUGUAGUGGAGGAGCUUGUAAUGGACUGCAGUCGUUCCUGGACCAUAACAUUUUGUAGUUUUUGUUGGCAGAUUAAGGCCCGAUGUAGAAGCAUAUUCUUUAACUGCAAUGAACAUGUACUGAAUCAUUCAAUACAUGUGUUUACACGUU